rnacentral:rRNA from 1 species
CCCUUAGAUGUUCUGGGCUGCACGCGCGCUACACUGAAGCGUUCAACGAGUAUUUCACCUUGCCCGGGAGGGUUGGGUAAUCUUUUUAAAACGCUUCGUGAUGGGGAUAGAUUAUUGCAAUUAUUAAUCUUCAACGAGGAAUACCUUGUAAGCGCGGGUCAUCAUCCCGCGCUGAAUACGUCCCUGCCCUUUGUACACACCGCCCGUCGCUCCUACCGAUUGAGUGGUCCGGUGAGGCUUUGGGAUCUGAGCGGAAAGAGCGUUUCGCUGUUUCUGCUCGGAAAACUCAGUCGAACCUUAUCAUUUAGAGGAAGGAGAAGUCGUAACA